UCCUUCAGGUGAUCCACAUACUCUGGGGGGGCAAGGGGGUCACAUCACAUUCCCAGCCCCCCAUAUCCUGCACACCCGCCCCUCGUCCUUCAGGUGAUCCACGUACUCUGGGGGGGCAAGGGGGUCACAUCACAUUCCCAGCCCCCCAUAUCCUGCACACCCGCCCCUCGUCCUUCAGGUGAUCCACAUACUGUGGGGGGGCAGGGGAGUCACACCCCAUUCCCAGCCCCCCAUAUCCUGCACACCCGCCCCUCGUCCUUCAGGUGAUCCAUGUACUCUGGGCGGGCAGGGGGGUCACACCCCGGCUCCCAGCCCCACACUCCUGGUCCCGUGACAGCCAGCCCCCUCACCCCGGCUCCCAUAGCCCCCUCCAACCUGCCCCUUGUCCUUCGGGUGCUCCACGCACCCUAGGGAGCAAGAGUUUCCACACGUUCCUCCCCCCAAGGGUUAUUUCCUUCGGAGUGGAGCCCCCUCGCGCC